rnacentral:snoRNA from 1 species
CCGGUCUGUGUGAUGAUACACAAUCCAAAUGCAUAGUUCAUCUGAGUAAUCUGAUGAAAAACCUUACCUUCAAUUCUUUCGCUCCCAUCUGACAUACCAA